AAAAAAGGUAAGCUACUAAGAGCGAAUGGUGGAUGCCUUGACUGGUAAAGGCGAUGAAGGACGUACUAGACUGCGAUAAGCUACGGGGAGCUGUCAAGAAGCUUUGAUCCGUAGAUUUCCGAAUGGGGCAACCCAAUGUAUAGAGAUAUACAUUACCUAUAUAGGAGCGAACGAGGGGAAUUGAAACAUCUUAGUACCCUCAGGAAAAGAAAUCAAUAGAGAUUGCGUCAGUAGCGGCGAGCGAAAGCGCAAGAGGGCAAACCCAGUGCUUGCACUGGGGGUUGUAGGACUGCAAUGUGCAAGAGGUGAGUUUAGCAGAACAUUCUGGAAAGUAUAGCCAUAGAGGGUGAUAGUCCCGUAUGCGAAAAACAAACCUUAGCUAGCAGUAUCCUGAGUAGGGCGGGACACGAGAAAUCCUGUCUGAAGCUGGGUCGACCACGAUCCAACCCUAAAUACUAAUACCAGAUCGAUAGUGCACAAGUACCGUGAGGGAAAGGUGAAAAGAACUGAGGUGAUCAGAGUGAAAUAGAACCUGAAACCAUUUGCUUACAAUCAUUCAGAGCACUAUGUAGCAAUACAGUGUGAUGGACUGCCUUUUGCAUAAUGAGCCUGCGAGUUGUGGUGUCUGGCAAGGUUAAGCAAACGCGAAGCCGUAGCGAAAGCGAGUCUGAAUAGGGCGCUUAGUCAGAUGCUGCAGACCCGAAACGAAGUGAUCUAUCCAUGAGCAAGUUGAAGCUAGUGUAAGAACUAGUGGAGGACUGAACCCAUAGGCGUUGAAAAGCCCCGGGAUGACUUGUGGAUAGGGGUGAAAGGCCAAUCAAACUUCGUGAUAGCUGGUUCUCUCCGAAAUAUAUUUAGGUAUAGCGUUGUGUCGUAAUAUAAGGGGGUAGAGCACUGAAUGGGCUAGGGCAUACACCAAUGUACCAAACCCUAUCAAACUCCGAAUACCUUAUAUGUAAUCACAGCAGUCAGGCGGCGAGUGAUAAAAUCCGUCGUCAAGAGGGAAACAACCCAGACUACCAGCUAAGGUCCCUAAAUCUUACUUAAGUGGAAAACGAUGUGAAGUUACUUAAACAACCAGGAGGUUGGCUUAGAAGCAGCCAUCCUUUAAAGAAAGCGUAAUAGCUCACUGGUCUAGUGAUUUUGCGCGGAAAAUAUAACGGGGCUAAAGUAAGUACCGAAGCUGUAGACUUGACUUUGUCAAGUGGUAGGAGAGCGUUCUAUUUGCGUCGAAGGUAUACCGGUAAGGAGUGCUGGAGCGAAUAGAAGUGAGCAUGCAGGCAUGAGUAGCGAUAAUUAAUGUGAGAAUCAUUAACGCCGUAAACCCAAGGUUUCCUACGCGAUGCUCGUCAUCGUAGGGUUAGUCGGGUCCUAAGUCGAGUCCGAAAGGGGUAGACGAUGGCAAAUUGGUUAAUAUUCCAAUACCAACAUUAGUGUGCGAUGGAAGGACGCUUAGGGCUAAGGGGGCUAGCGGAUGGAAGUGCUAGUCUAAGGUCGUAGGUGCUUAUACAGGCAAAUCCGUAUAAGAAUACACCGAGAACUGAAAGGCUUUUUGAAGUCUUCGGAUGGAUAGAAGAACCCCUGAUGCCGUCGAGCCAAGAAAAGUUUCUAAGUUUAGCUAAUGUUGCCCGUACCGUAAACCGACACAGGUGGGUGGGAUGAGUAUUCUAAGGCGCGUGGAAGAACUCUCUUUAAGGAACUCUGCAAAAUAGCACCGUAUCUUCGGUAUAAGGUGUGGUUAGCUUCGUAUUAGGAUUUACUCCGAAAGCGAAGAAACUUACAACAAAGAGUCCCUCCCGACUGUUUACCAAAAACACAGCACUCUGCUAACUCGUAAGAGGAUGUAUAGGGUGUGACGCCUGCCCGGUGCUCGAAGGUUAAUUGAUGGGGUUAGCAUUAGCGAAGCUCUUGAUCGAAGCCCGAGUAAACGGCGGCCGUAACUAUAACGGUCCUAAGGUAGCGAAAUUCCUUGUCGGUUAAAUACCGACCUGCAUGAAUGGCGUAACGAGAUGGGAGCUGUCUCAAAGAGGGAUCCAGUGAAAUUGUAGUGGAGGUGAAAAUUCCUCCUACCCGCGGCAAGACGGAAAGACCCCGUGGACCUUUACUACAGCUUGACACUGCUACUUGGAUAAGAAUGUGCAGGAUAGGUGGGAGGCUUUGAGUAUAUGACGCCAGUUGUAUAUGAGCCAUUGUUGAGAUACCACUCUUUCUUAUUUGGGUAGCUAACCAGCUUGAGUUAUCCUCAAGUGGGACAAUGUCUGGUGGGUAGUUUGACUGGGGCGGUCGCCUCCCAAAUAAUAACGGAGGCUUACAAAGGUUGGCUCAGAACGGUUGGAAAUCGUUCGUAGAGUAUAAAGGUAUAAGCCAGCUUAACUGCAAGACAUACAAGUCAAGCAGAGACGAAAGUCGGUCUUAGUGAUCCGGUGGUUCUGUGUGGAAGGGCCAUCGCUCAAAGGAUAAAAGGUACCCCGGGGAUAACAGGCUGAUCUCCCCCAAGAGCUCACAUCGACGGGGAGGUUUGGCACCUCGAUGUCGGCUCAUCGCAUCCUGGGGCUGGAGCAGGUCCCAAGGGUAUGGCUGUUCGCCAUUUAAAGCGGUACGCGAGCUGGGUUCAGAACGUCGUGAGACAGUUCGGUCCCUAUCUGCCGUGGGCGUAAGAAGAUUGAAGAGAUUUGACCCUAGUACGAGAGGACCGGGUUGAACAAACCACUGGUGUAGCUGUUGUUCUGCCAAGAGCAUCGCAGCGUAGCUAAGUUUGGAAAGGAUAAACGCUGAAAGCAUCUAAGCGUGAAGCCAACUCUAAGAUGAAUCUUCUCUAAGCUCUCUAGAAGACUACUAGUUUGAUAGGCUGGGUGUGUAAUGGAUGAAAGUCCUUUAGCUGACCAGUACUAAUAGAGCGUUUGGCUUAUCUUUAAUAAAGCAU
rnacentral:rRNA from 1 species